UCCCAAGCCGGCUGGCAGUGCGCUCCUGUCGGCUGCGGCUGCUGGAGAUCCCCCGGUGCGCAGGACGGAGCCCAUGCGCAGCGCUGCCUGCCUGGAUGCGUGGCUGGCUGCGUGAUAAAUGCGGGAGUGCGGCCACCUAGCUCACAGCUGCUGCGGCUGCAGGAGCGAGCAGAAACUCUGAGCGCACAACUAAAGCUGGAAGAAGCAGAAAAUAGACGAGACGCUUUGAUUGACUGGCGGUUUGAUGCGGUGAUUGGCUGCUUUCAUCCGCGAUCAUUAGGAAACAAACACAGGUUUUUCUUCCCAUCAACUCUGACCCACAGCAUGAUGCUGCCACCGCCAUGUUCCUCAGCUUGGAAGUCGCAGCAUGAAGGAGACCAUCUAGACGGCGCAGGAACCCGGACCACGCUGAUUUGUUUUGAAAAGCAUUACAAGCAUGACCACAACUGAGACGUAGCUGGAAACUCAGAAAGUGUGGUGAAAGUUUUCAGCCCCGAUUCAGACCAGCUUUCUUCCUGCUCUGAAUCAGUGCUAAUAAAAACACACACAUUUAAACACAAAGGCCCUGCAGGAAAGCUGUGCAAGCAAACACACACACACACACACACACACACACACACACACACACACACAUCCCCUCUGUGGUCCAAACAGCGUGUUUUUGCCAAACACCUGUGUAAUCGUCCAGCUGUGGGGAAUGGUGGGAAGUGAGGAGGGAGAACUGGAUGCCACACAGCUAACAGCUAACGGCUAACGGCUAUUAGCUGCAGCUAAACAGCAAGACUUUUGUUGUCAAUGUUUGAUUCUCAAAUGUGACGUUAAUGGAUUAAACUGUUCAUUUCCU